AGUGAGGUCAUCUGGGGUCCUGGACCUGACCGUCCUGCACAUCCUGAAAGCACCGGGAAGGCUGUCAGCUGCUCUGACUGGGGUGUGGAGAAGGCCCAUUCGUCUGCUUUCCUUCUGCUGGGUGCCCACGUCCACUCCCAUCCCUGUGCCCGGGCGGCUUCCUGGGCUUGGAGGCAGCAUUUCCCCAGACUUCUGAGAGGUGGAGCAAGGAACUAUGGGUUCAAUGGUCAUUGAGGAUGUUGCUGUGGUCUUUAGCCAGGAAGAGUGGGCAUUGCUAGAUUUUUCUCAGAGGAAACUCUACAGAGAUGUGAUGAUGGAAACCUUCAAAAACCUGGAAACAGUAGUCUCUGGAAACCUUCCUGAUGCAGAGACGUCACUCACUGAUCAUGUAAUGCUACAAUUCAUGAAGAAUAACACUUGGUCCUCCGUGAUAGGACUCUCUGAAUUGCAUGGCAAUGAGGAUGAGCAUAAAAUCCAAAGAGGAUA